UACAGAGGGUGCGAGCGUUAAUCGGAAUUACUGGGCGUAAAGCGCACGUAGGCGGCUUUCUAAGUCGGGGGGUGAAAUCCUGGAGCUCAACUCCAGAACUGCCUUCGAUACUGGAGAGCUCGAGUCCGGGAGAGGUGAGUGGAACUGCGAGUGUAGAGGUGAAAUUCGUAGAUAUUCGCAAGAACACCAGUGGCGAAGGCGGCUCACUGGCCCGAUACUGACGCUGAGGUGCGACAGCGUGGGGAGCAAACGGG
rnacentral:rRNA from 1 species